CGGUGACUCGAGCAAGGAUGUUGAUGCGGUCCUCUCUAGCUUCUCCCAACGGUACAGCUAUGUCCUCAGUACCACUGACUUGGCGAGGAAGGUGUCGGUAGACGGUGGUGCUCAACUCCUCGCGGUGAGUGAAGCAGAGAGCUGACAGAGCUCUCCUGGCAGCGUCGCUGACGGCUGCGGCGUAGGUGGCGUGAGGCGUAGUGGAGUCGUGCACCAUGUAGGUCCUCAAGCCUCUCGAAGUCGCCAACCGUUCCCUGAUGUGGACCUGAGUGGAGUAGUAGUCAUCCAUGGUGGCGUGGGUGAUACGGUAAGUGACGUAGAGGGGCUUCACGGUGUUUCCUAGAGUCUCUAGUGCUUCCUGGAGCAGUGUGGGAAAG
rnacentral:lncRNA from 1 species